GCAAAUGGAAUUUUAUGAAUGGUUACAAAAUGGAGAUGCAGACUUAACUGGCUUAAAUUAUGCGGUCUUUGGUUUAGGAAAUAAAACGUAUGAACAUUACAACGAAGUUGCCAUUUAUAUAGA